AUGCAUCCGGCAGGUGAAGCACCACCUUUACUAGCGACCAUCCAGGAAGACGACGAGCUGGCGAGCGAAUCCAUGAAGAGCGGCGGCGGGGGAGUAGAAAGCGCCAGGUGCGAAGUGGAGGCCGCGGGCAUCAACUACCACAUCACCGUCUCCGCCCGGCCUCACCCGCUCAAGAUAUGGAGCAGGCCCGACGACCUCCUCCUCGACGCCGCCGGCGACCCCGCUGCGCCUGCGCCUCCGCCGGUGAGCAGAAGCAGCAGGUGCCGCCUCGUGCUCCGCAACGUCGGCUGCCGCGCCCGCCCCGGCGAGCUGCUCGCCAUCGUCGGCCCCAGCGGCGCCGGCAAGUCCACGCUGCUCGAGAUCCUCUCCGGCCGCCUUGAGCCCAGCUCGUCCAAUCCUGCUGACCUCCGCGUCAAUGGCUCCCCUGUCGACGCCGCCGCCCUGCGCCGCCUCUGCGGCUACGUCACCCAGCGCGACGUCCUCUUCCCGCUGCUCACCGUUCGCGAGACGCUCCACUUCAGCGCGCGCCUCCGCCUCGGCCCGGACGCGUACGACCCCGCCGCGGUUGACGCGCUCGUCGACGACCUCGCGCUGGCCCGCGUCGCCGACGCCAGGGUCAAGGACCUCUCCGGCGGCGAGCGGCGCCGCGUGUCCAUUGGCGUGGAGGCCGUGCGCGACCCCGCCGUGCUGGUGCUCGACGAGCCCACCUCCGGCCUCGACAGCGCGUCCGCGCUCCAGAUCGUCGGCGCGCUCCGGGCCAUGGCCGAGUCGCGAGGGCGCACCGUGGUGCUCAGCAUCCACCAGCCCGGCGCGCGCAUCGUCAAGAUGUUCGACGCCGUGCUCCUGCUCGCCGCCGGCUCCGUGCUCCACCACGGCUCCGUCGACGCGCUCCACUCGCUGCUCACCGGCGCCGGCCUCCGCCUCCCCCCGCACGUGGACGCCGUCGAGUUCGCCAUCGACUCCGUGGACGAGCUGCGCCUCCACCUGCACCUCCAGCAGCAGCAGCGCGACCGCCGCUGCACGCUGCAGCAGCUCUUCCAGCAGCACAAGCUCAAGGCCCAGGCCGACGACGACUCUGCAGCAGGCAUGCUCACCGCCGGAGGAAGCAAUGGGCAACACCGGUACGCCAACUCGUGGCCGCGCGAGGUGGCGGUGCUGUCGCAGCGCUUCUUCAAGAACGUGGCGCGGACGCGGCAGCUCUUCGCGUGCCGCACCGUGUGCAUGCUCGUCGCCGGCCUCGCGCUCGGCUCCAUCUUCUACGACCUCGCCGAAGACAAGGCGGCGGAGCGGGUGGGCCUCUUCGCCUUCCUCCUCACCUUCCUGCUCUCCUCCACGACGGAGGCGCUGCCGGUGUUCUUGCAGGAGCGGGAGAUCCUGGCCAAGGAGACCUCGUCCGGCGCCUACCGGGUGUCCGCCUACGCCGUGGCGAACGCGCUGGUGUUCCUGCCGUUCCAGCUGGCGCUGGCGGCGGUGUUCGCGGCGCCGGCGUACUGGCUGACGGGGCUGCGCCGCACAGCACCGGCCUUCUUCUACUUCCUCCUUCUCAUCUGGCUGGUCCUCUACACGGCCAACUCGGUGGUGGCGUGCUUCGCGGCGGCGGCGCCGGACUUCGUGGUGGGGAACGCGGCGGUGCAGGGCGUGAUGGGCUCCUUCUUCCUCUUCUCCGGCUACUUCAUCCGGCGGUCGGCGAUGCCGGCGUACUGGGUGCCGAUGCACUACCUGUCGCUCUUCAAGUGGCCGUUCGAGGCGCUGCUGCUGAACGAGUUCGGGGGCCGGUGCGCGGCGAGGGCGAUGGGGGUGUGCGUGGCGACCGGCGACGAGGUGCUCCGGCGGGAGGGGAUCGGGGAGGAGUGCCGGUGGAGGAACGUGGCCGUCAUGGUCGGCUUCGUCGCCUUCUACCGGGCGCUCGGCUACGCCGUGCUCCGGGUCCGCUGCAGCCUCACGCUCAGGGCAGCCGCACGGUCCGCAUUGCUGUCUUCCUCCUCGCACUACUCUGCUUGCUUCUCUGCAUCUACCGCCAAAGCUUGA
rnacentral:rRNA from 1 species